CGCGUAGGCGGAGAUAAAGGUCAGAUGUGAAAUCCCGAGGCUCAACCUCGGAACUGCAUUUGAAACUUUAUCCCUAGAGGGUAGGCGGAGAAAACGGAAUUCCACAAGUAGCGGUGAAAUGCGUAGAUAUGUGGAAGAACACCGGUGGCGAAGGCGGUUUUCUAGCUUAUUCCUGACGCUAAAGCGCGAAAGCAAGGGGAUCAAACA
rnacentral:rRNA from 1 species